AGAAUGCAGUGAGGGUAGCAACCGGGCUACACAGGUGAUGAAAGGGGGAACUGCAUCCUGGGAUCCGCAGUUUCGCCUGUCCACCCGCCAAAUCCUAAGAGUGGCUGGGCGCAGUUAUGGGGGAGUGUAGAGACAGGGUUUCACCAUGUUGGCCAUGCUGGUCUCGACCUCCAGAACUCAAGUGAUCCGCCCGCCUCGGUCUUCCAAACUGCUGGGAUUACAGGCGUGAACCACCGCGCCCAGCCUUUGCAGAAGUUCUUUUUACCGUCCAUCAUCCAUUGCUACCACACCUUCUGCUUACAAGUUAUUUAUAAUAAGUUUAACUAAAAGAGAACGAGGGAACAUCCCCUGAAACCCAUAGUUUGUCAUUCUAUACAGCUUUCCUGCCUGCAAAAAAGGUGGAGCAGACUCAUCCAGCAAAUCACCGAAAAAGUUUGAAGAUCAAAAAGCCUAGCUCCAUUUUCAGAUCCUCCCUCGAUCUUUCUGAACACUAGUUUCUUCCUCUGAAAAACGAAAGAGGGAACGGGACCGUAGAGUGGAGUGGGCACAAGAAUCGCAAGUCCUUUCU
rnacentral:lncRNA from 1 species